GAUGAACGCUGGCGGCGUGCCUAAUACAUGCAAGUCGAGCGAACAGACGAGGAGCUUGCUCCUCUGACGUUAGCGGCGGACGGGUGAGUAACACGUGUAUAACCUACCUAUAAUACUGGGAUAACUUCGGGAAACCGGAGCUAAUACCGUAUAAUAUAUUGAACCGCAUGGUUCAAUAGUGAAAGACGGUUUUGCUGUCACUUAUAGAUGGUUCCGCGCCGCAUUAGCUAGUUGGUAAGGUAACGGCUUACCAAGGCAACGAUGCGUAGCCGACCUGAGAGGGUGAUCGGCCACACUGGAACUGAGACACGGUCCAGACUCCUACGGGAGGCAGCAGUAGGGAAUCUUCCGCAAUGGGCGAAAGCCUGACGGAGCAACGCCGCGUGAGUGAUGAAGGUCUUCGGAUCGUAAAACUCUGUUAUUAGGGAAGAACAAAUGUGUAAGUAACUAUGCACGUCUUGACGGUACCUAAUCAGAAAGCCACGGCUAACUACGUG
rnacentral:rRNA from 1 species